rnacentral:rRNA from 1 species
GAUUUCUGGUGUGGUGCAGCAGGCCCGCACACGGAUUCGUGUGUGAGUGCCGGCUUGGCCAGGCCAUCCUUCUAGCUCACUGUUCUCUCCUUCAUUGGCAGGGAGCAGUGUUAGUCUAGAUCUUUUACUUUGAAAAAAUUAGAGUGUUUAAAGCAGGCAGUGUUUGCUAUGAAUACAUUAGCAUGGAAUAAUAAUUUAGGACUUCGGUUCUAUUUUGUUGGUUUCUAGGACUGAAGUAAUGAUUGAUAGGGAUAGUUGGGGGUGCUAGUAUUCAGCGGCCAGAGGUGAAAUUCUCGGAUUCGCUGAAGACUAACUUAUGCGAAAGCAUU